CUUGCAUGAGAUCUCACAUUGGCUGGAGAGGGAACUAAACAUUCUUUGUAUAGGAGACGGUAAGGGAAUGUGGAAAAAGACAGAAAGGGACAUCUGAUCACCCCUUUCGAAGGGGCAAAAGAUGGGGGCAUUUUAGAGAUCAGUAAUGAGCGGUCAUUUCUUCUUUGGAGACAUUAUUGGCAUGUGUGGUCAUUUCUUAUUUAUUUUUUUAAUUAUUAUAUAUAUAUAUGUGUUUGAUAAUC